AUGGAUUCUUCUCCAAAUUCCGAAUCUUCCUCCCCAACUCACCCUGGUUCUCAUCAGGAGGAAAAUUCCUUCCCAGCGGGCGCCGAGGCAGGCACUCAUCUGUAUGAUGUCGCUGGUCGCCACUUACAGCCUUCCAGUAUCAGAACGAUCCAAAAAAUGCGUAAACUCUGCUCGAUUGCUUUAGGUUUUAGGUUGCUUUGGAAUAAAACUAGACAUUUUGGGAUGCAAAUACAUUUUUGGAGAUGCAUAUACAUGUAGAAGUGCAGAUGUUUGGGAUCGUAUGGAUAACUUUCCACCAUUAGAUUGUUAUCAUAUUUUGACACAAGAUUAAGACGGAUGUUAGCUUUCACUUGCAAGUGAUAGUAAGGAAAUCUAAACGGUGCAUUCAAGAGUUAUACCCAAUUUUGUGAAGACAUGUCAUUCUAGCGAGCAAUUGAAGCAAUUGUAGAUAUUGGAAGCAGAGAAGGUCAGAUCAAUCGAUCCACUUGGAGACUGAUCGGUCCGCCUCCUCCGGACAAGAGAAACAUUCCAGAACGGGGCAGACCAAUCAGUCCAUCACCUGGAUCGAUCGGUCCACUUCCCAUACGCAUUUUUGACCCAGAUUUGACCCAAAACAUUCCAGAACCGACCCGACUUGUCUUCUAUUGAUUUUAUAUCCUAAGUUUAACCUUUCAGACAUAUCGAACAAACUUCUGAGUUCUAAACAUUGUUUUUUUCUUUCUAAACAAUUUGGGCGAGAAGAAUCUGCCCUUUUGACA